rnacentral:rRNA from 1 species
AGAGUUUGAUCAUGGCUCAGAUUGAACGCUGGCGGUAUGCCUAACACAUGCAAGUCGAACGAGGCAGUAAUGCCUAGUGGCGGACGGGUGAGGAAUACGUAGGGAUCUGCCCUUGAGUGGGGGAUAACCCGGGGAAACCCGGAUUAAUACCGCAUGAUCUCGCAAGAGCAAAGAGGGGGACCGCAAGGCCUCUCGCUUUUGGAGGAACCUACGUCGGAUUAGCUAGUUGGUGAGGUAACGGCUCACCAAGGCGACGAUCCGUAACUGGUCUGAGAGGAUGAUCAGUCACACCGGAACUGAGACACGGUCCGGACUCCUACGGGAGGCAGCAGUGGGGAAUAUUGGACAAUGGGCGAAAGCCUGAUCCAGCAAUACCGCGUGUGUGAAGAAGGCCUUCGGGUUGUAAAGCACUUUAAGUUGGGAAGAAAAAGCUUCACCUAAUACGUGGAGCCUUGACGGUACCGACAGAAUAAGCACCGGCUAACUCUGUGCCAGCAGCCGCGGUAAUACAGAGGGUGCUAGCGUUAAUCGGAUUUACUGGGCGUAAAGCGUGCGUAGGCGGUUUGAUAAGUCGAUUGUGAAAGCCCCGGGCUUAACCUGGGAAUUGCGGUCGAUACUGUCAGACUCGAAAACGGUAGAGGGAGGUGGAACUCCAGGUGUAGCGGUGAAAUGUGUAGAUAUCUGGAAGAACACCGAUGGCGAAGGCAGCUUCCUGGGCCUGUUUUGACACUGAGGCACGAAAGCGUGGGUAGCAAACAGGAUUAGAUACCCUGGUAGUCC